rnacentral:rRNA from 1 species
UGGGGGAUAUUGCACAAUGGGCGAAAGCCUGAUGCAGCGACGCCGCGUGGGGGAGGAAGGCUUUCGGGUUUUAAACCCCUUUCGCUUCCGAACAAGGCCGGCUAAGGGUGGGUGGAGGGUAGUGGGAGAAGAAGCGCCGGCUAACUCCGUUCCACCGGCCGCGGUAUUACGUAGGGCGCGAGCGUUGUCCGGAAUUAUUGGGCGUAAGGGGCUUGUAGGCGGCUUGUUGCGCCUGCUGUGAAAACGCGGGGCUGAACUUCGGGCGUGCAGUGGGUACGGGCAGGCUUGAGUGUGGUAGGGGUGACUGGAAUUCCAGGUGUAGCGGUGGAAUGCGCAGAUAUCUGGAGGAACACCGAUGGCGAAGGCAGGUCACUGGGCCAUUACUGACGCUGAGGAGCGAAAGCAUGGGUAGCGAACAGG